CUCUGUGGUAUCUGUCCUGUACUUGUACUUCAUGUGUGAGGCAGUUUGCUUCCUCUUGAGCUGAGGUCCUUUGCCUUACCAUUUCAAGCUGGCUUUCUGAUCCUUUUCUAGAAGCAGGUGCUUUUACCGAUUGUCGUUGCAGGGUACAGGGCAGGAACAUCCAGUGGAAGCCAACAGAGUAAUUGGCAAGUGUGUGUGAACUUCCAUUCGUCUAUGGCUACACAGGAUUCCAGUCUCAUGAUUGCCUGCUCUUAGCCUUGGAGUGUAUUCAAAUUUUCACUGAUUUCAUGGCUGCCACUCUUUCUUCUAUGCUUUGCUAGAGAUCUUUCUACUUGAUUUUCAUGGAAAUACGUUGCAGUGAUUCAGUGAAUCAUUUGCCUGGUGCUUCUUUUGUCUGUUGGAAUCUUAGCCAUGAAGUUUAAUUUAAAAUUGACCUUUCUGAAUUAUCUUCAGUGACUCAGAAGUCAUUCCAAGCAAAAGAAUGUUCAGAAAAUAUCUCCUCCAACAAGAAAGCAAACAAAACAGGAACAAGAACAGAAAGCUGAAGAAGAAAGAAUUUAUAUGGAAAACAUUCUGAGUGGAAACCCUCUCCUUAACCUUACAGGCCCAUCCCAGCCUCAGGCCAAUUUCAAAGUUAAAAGAAGGUUUUCUAAGACUAUGAUGAACGAUGGAAGGGAUCCCAUUUUGAAUCACAUGUUGGUAUGGAAGUGUCAUCAACCACCAAGCUGCUUCAGUGGGUGCCCAAGGAUGGGAUGGGGUACCUGCACCCCCAAAGUGCAGGCGUUUUUCUCUUUUCUGUUGGUGCAAGACAGGCGCUCCUUAA